rnacentral:rRNA from 1 species
UGGGGAAUCUUGCGCAAUGGGCGAAAGCCUGACGCAGCAACGCCGCGUGCGGGAUGAAGGCCUUCGGGUUGUAAACCGCUUUCAGUGGGGACGAACCAAGACGGUACCCACAGAAGAAGCCCCGGCCAACUACGUGCCAGCAGCCGCGGUAACACGUAGGGGGCAAGCGUUGUCCGGAUUCAUUGGGCGUAAAGAGCUCGUAGGCGGUUCGAUAAGUCGGGUGUGAAACCUCCAGGCUCAACCUGGAGACGCCACCCGAUACUGUCGUGACUAGAGUCCAGUAGGGGAGCGUGGAAUUCCUGGUGUAGCGGUGAAAUGCGCAGAUAUCAGGAGGAACACCAGCGGCGAAGGCGGCGCUCUGGGCUGGAACUGACGCUGAGGAGCGAAAGCGUGGGGAGCGAACAGGAUUAGAUACCCAUGUAGUCCCUGAGCGGGCUGGCAAGGCGCAU